rnacentral:lncRNA from 1 species
GGUCAGUAACAUGGAUAGCACAUCAAGUCUUCUCCAGAGAGGUGUUUCUCAUGUCCUAUUAAGUUGCUUUUAGAUAAUUAAUCAGAAUUCUAUCAUCUAGCUGGACAUGUUACAUGCAAUUUAUUUGUUUGUUUUCAGAUGAGUAAGUGGGGUCUCUUGUUCAAGUUCAGACUGAUGAAGAUGUAAUUUGAUGUCCACCUUUCUAGCUGAACUGACUGGAAGAUGGUGAAAUGGAGAAAAGACACCUAGCGCAACCUCUAAUCAUGCAAAAGUCAAGCCUUGUUGAAGUCAUCCCGACUCCUCUCACUUUCAACAUUCCCUAUGCUGCAAUUCAUCUUCACAGUUCCAACUUGGUCCAUACACAUCCUGGUACAGGAGGGUUACUAUGAGCAAGGCUACUUCCAGCCAAGUGUUUAUUUCAUGAAAGCCAUGGGGGGGCGGGGUUGCAACAUCCACACAAUGACAAUGGCAUCAAAGUGCCAGCUCUUGAAGGCCACUUGCUCUUUAAGGGAUUGAGGUAAAUUGUUGGAUGUGUAAGUUCUAUAGUGCUGCACUGCGUUUAACUCAGCAGAUCUAUCACUUGCAGGGAUAGCAAGUGGGAAGAUGGAGAUGGUGCCUGUCUUUUUAAAACCUUUGUGGUACCAAGAAAUAAUGCAAUUCCUUACCCUCCUCUCACUGCUGCUGUGUCAAAACUAAAAUUUUACAAUGUAAGUAAAUGGCAGAGGUGAGGGGGCACCCCAAGAGAAGUUCUUAUGAACUGGGAAUUAUGAAGAAACUUUGACCAUAUUCUUGCCUUCUUUAUUACCCAUGAGCAAUUAUUGACUCCAUUCACAAGGCCGUUUAUUCAAUUUCCCUGACAUUCCUCUAACUAUUAGUUUCCACAUUAUAUUUUAGCUUCCACCCAAUGUACAAAUCACUUCUGGAAAUCUAGCAGAAUAUAGUGGAAGUUUAAGCACUGAGUUUAAGCAUUUCUGUGUUAACUGCUUCUGGAAAUAAACCAUUUGCAACCCCCACUCACCCAGAAAAUAGCAGGAGAAAACUGAUGGCAUUUGGGGCUGUAUACUGGUAUAUGGUUAUUUUCUGACAUUUUCAUGAGUGAAUCAUGGGGAGAACAGAAGAAAGGACAUGUGAAAAAGGGUAGGGGAGUAGCAAUGUUGUUCUAUGACAUUCAUUGUGCCACUCUAUGCCUGCCAAUGUGAAAGUUAGCGUGACGUGCUAAAUAUAGGUCAAAAAGCCAGAGUUCCAUAAUGCAACAAGUGCAGCAGGGUGAAAGGAAUAUUCAUGAACAGGACAGAAGUGCUAGCAUUAUAAUCAGGAAAACUAACGCAAUAUUCCCCAUGUCUGCAUGCCCCCAUUCUAGCUCUCUCAACAGGUGUUGGGAACAUUUUGAUAGAUCAACAGGCUACUUCAAGGGAUGGAAGGUAUCAUGACAAUUUUCACUGGGCUUAUUUUUCAUAUGUGUACACCUUUCCCAUAGGUUAAUACUGCCAUACAAUCAACAUGUCCUGACACUGCCAUUGUUAGAAGCGGAAAGCAGCCCUUAAGGAUUCCUACAUUAUGAUUUUCAUUAGCAAGUGAUAAAUUUCCUGGAGUACAGAUCUUGUUUCAUAUUGAUCGUGGUGGGGAAAAGAAAAUUACAGUGGCUGAACUUCAACAUGCCUUUCAGAAAGAAACUUGGCAAUCCAGG